rnacentral:lncRNA from 1 species
AGAGAGAAAAAUUAGAUGGACAAUAACUAAGGCCUAUGAAUUAGGAAACCAUAAAUUAAUGGAGAGAAAUACCAGGAAUAAUAUUUUAUUGAUUGCAAUCAGAAACAGACUGCGACGUGAGUACUCCAAUACCAUUCAUAGAAGCCGCCGUUCACCCACUUUGCAUGGCUCAUCGGACUGCCGUCAUUAACCGGAGUCUUGUCCGCUGCCGUUCCGUCAUUUCGAAGCACCGAUGUACGCUUA